CAGUCGCCACGGUAAAACCGAGGGUGCAAGCGUUAAUCGGAAUUACUGGGCGUAAAGCGCGCGUAGGUGGUUUGUUAAGUUGGAUGUGAAAUCCCCGGGCUCAACCUGGGAACUGCAUCCAAAACUGGCAAGCUAGAGUAUGGUAGAGGGUGGUGGAAUUUCCUGUGUAGCGGUGAAAUGCGUAGAUAUAGGAAGGAACACCAGUGGCGAAGGCGACCACCUGGACUGAUACUGACACUGAGGUGCGAAAGCGUGGGGAGCAAACAGGAUUAGAUACCCCAGUAGUCCCUGUCUCUUAUAC
rnacentral:rRNA from 1 species